UACGUAGGUGGCAAGCGUUUAUCCGGAAUUAUUGGGCGUAAAGCGCGCGCAGGCGGUUUCUUAAGUCUGAUGUGAAAGCCCACGGCUCAACCGUGGAGGGUCAUUGGAAACUGGAGGACUUGAGUACAGAAGAGGAAAGCGGAAUUCCACGUGUAGCGGUGAAAUGCGUAGAGAUGUGGAGGAACACCAGUGGCGAAGGCGGCUUUCUGGUCUGUAACUGACGCUGAGGAGCGAAAGCGUGGGGAGCGAACAGG
rnacentral:rRNA from 1 species